AGCAGCCGCGGUAAUCCCAGCUCCAAUAGCGUAUAUUAAAGUUGUUGCAGUUAAAAAGCUCGUAGUUGAAUUUCGGGGUUAGUAGGUUGGUCGUGCCACUGGUAUGUACUGGUUCUACUGAUCCCUCCUUCUUGUAGAACCGUAAUGCCAUUCACUUGGUGUUGCGGGGAAACAGGACUGUUACUUUGAAAAAAUUAGAGUGUUUAAAGCAGGCUAACGCUUGAAUACAUUAGCAUGGAAUAAUGAAAUAGGACGUUCGAUCCUAUUUUGUUGGUUUCUAGGAUUGACGUAAUGAUUAAUAGGGAUAGUUGGGGGCAUUAGUAUUCAAUUGUCAGAGGUGAAAUUCUUGGAUUUAUUGAAGACUAACUACUGCGAAAGCAUUUGCCAAGGAUGUUUUCAUUAAUCAAGAACGAAAGUUAGGGGAUCGAAGACGAUCAGAUACCGUCGUAGUCUUAACCAUAAACUAUGCCGACUAGGGAUCGGAUGAUGUUAAUUUUUUAAUGACUCAUUCGGCGCCUUA
rnacentral:rRNA from 1 species